GAUGAACGCUAGCGGCAGGCCUAACACAUGCAAGUCGAGGGGUAGAGCACUUCGGUGUUUGAGACCGGCGCACGGGUGCGUAACGCGUAUGCAAUCUGCCUUACACUAAGGGAUAGCCCAGAGAAAUUUGGAUUAAUACCUUAUAGUAUAUUGAUGUGGCAUCACAUUAUUAUUAAAGAUUUAUCGGUGUAAGAUGAGCAUGCGUCCCAUUAGCUAGUUGGUAUGGUAACGGCAUACCAAGGCAAUGAUGGGUAGGGGUCCUGAGAGGGAGAUCCCCCACACUGGUACUGAGACACGGACCAGACUCCUACGGGAGGCAGCAGUGAGGAAUAUUGGACAAUGGGCGCAAGCCUGAUCCAGCCAUGCCGCGUGCAGGAUGAAGCAUCUAUGGUGUGUAAACUGCUUUUGUACGGGAAGAAACACCUCUUCGUGAAGAGGCUUGACGGUACCGUAAGAAUAAGGACCGGCUAACUCCGUGCCAGCCGCCGCAGUAAAAC
rnacentral:rRNA from 1 species